AUUGAACGCUGGCGGGAGGCUUAACACAUGCAAGUCGAGCGGAGCGAGGGUGCUUGCACCUUAGCUUAGCGGCGGACGGGUGAGUAAUGCUUAGGAAUCUGCCUAUUAGUGGGGGACAACAUUCCGAAAGGAAUGCUAAUACCGCAUACGCCCUACGGGGGAAAGCAGGGGAUCUUCGGACCUUGCGCUAAUAGAUGAGCCUAAGUCGGAUUAGCUAGUUGGUGGGGUAAAGGCCUACCAAGGCGACGAUCUGUAGCGGGUCUGAGAGGAUGAUCCGCCACACUGGGACUGAGACACGGCCCAGACUCCUACGGGAGGCAGCAGUGGGGAAUAUUGGACAAUGGGGGGAACCCUGAUCCAGCCAUGUCGCGUGUGUGAAGAAGGCCUUAUGGUUGUAAAGCACUUUAAGCGAGGAGGAGGCUCUUUUGGUUAAUACCCAAGAUGAGUGGACGUUACUCGCAGAAUAAGCACCGGCUAACUCUGUGCCAGCCGCCGCAGUAAUAC
rnacentral:rRNA from 1 species